UGCUGGUGUCUUGAUGAUCGGUUACAGA
rnacentral:piRNA from 1 species